GAUGAAGAACGUAGCGAAAUGCGAUACUUGGUGUGAAUUGCAGAAUCCCGUGAACCAUCGAGUCUUUGAACGCAAGUUGCGCCUCAAGCCAUUAGGUUGAGGGCACGUCUGCCUGGGCGUCACAUAUCGUUGCCUGAUGCCAGUUUCCUCGUGAUGGGUGACUGUGCAGGGCGAAUGAUGGCUUCCCGUGAGCAUUGUUGCCUCAUGGUUGGUUGAAAAUUGAGUCCUUGGUAGGGAGCGCCGUGAUAGAUGGUGGUUGAGUGACGAACGAGACCCAAUCAUGUGAGACCCCUACCGAAUUUGGCCUUCAUGUCCCACAUGCGUCUUUGGAACGCUCAUGACGAGACCUCAGGUCAGGCGGGGCUACCCGCUGAGUUUAAGCAUAUCAAUAAGCGGAGGA
rnacentral:misc_RNA from 1 species